rnacentral:rRNA from 1 species
AUACGGAGGGGGCAAGCGUUGUUCGGAAUUACUGGGCGUAAAGCGCGCGUAGGCGGGCUGGUUAGUUGGGGGUGAAAUCCCAGGGCUUAACCCUGGAACUGCCUUCAAUACUGCCAGUCUAGAGUUCGAGAGAGGUGAGUGGAAUUCCUAGUGUAGAGGGGAAAUUCGUAGAUAUUAGGAAGAACACCAGUGGCGAAGGCGGCUCACUGGCUCGAUACUGACGCUGAGGUGCGAAAGCGUGGGGAGCAAACAGGAUUAGAAACCCGUGUAGUCC